UACGUAGGGUGCGAGCGUUGUCCGGAAUUAUUGGGCGUAAAGAGCUUGUAGGCGGUUUGUCGCGUCUGCUGUGAAAAUCCGGGGCUCAACCCCGGACUUGCAGUGGGUACGGGCAGACUAGAGUGUGGUAGGGGAGGCUGGAAUUCCUGGUGUAGCGGUGAAAUGCGCAGAUAUCAGGAGGAACACCGGUGGCGAAGGCGGGUCUCUGGGCCGAUACUGACGCUGAGGAGCGAAAGCGUGGGGAGCGAACAGG
rnacentral:rRNA from 1 species